AUAAAUGACUUAGUUACAUUUUUAGCUCACCUGGCCCGAAGGGCCAAGUGAGCUUUUCCCAUCACUUGGCGUCCGUCGUCCGUAGUCGUCGUCCGUCGUCCGUCGUCGUUAACUUUUACAAAAAUCUUCUCCUCUGAAACUACUGGGCCAAAUUAAACCAAACUUGGCCACAAUCAUCAUUGGGGUAUCUAGUUUAAAAAAUGUGUGGCGUGACCCG
rnacentral:lncRNA from 1 species